rnacentral:rRNA from 1 species
UUCCGGUUGAUCCUGCCAGAGGCUACUGCUAUCGGGGUUCGAUUAAGCCAUGCAAGUUAAAUGUUCUUCGUGAACAUAGCGAACUGCUCAGUAACACGUGAUAACCUACCCUUAGGACCGGAAUAACCCCGGGAAACUGGGGAUAAUACCGGAUAAGCCAUAGACGCUGGAAUGCCCUAUGGUUCAAAGCUCCGGCGCCUAAGGAUGGAUCUGCGGUCUAUCAGGUUGUAGUGGGUGUAACGUACCUACUAGCCGACGACGGAUACGGGUUGUGAGAGCAAGAGCCCGGAGAUGGAUUCUGAGACACGAAUCCAGGCCCUACGGGGUGCAGCAGGCGCGAACACUUUACAAUGCGGGAAACCGCGAUAAGGGAACCCCGAGUGCCAGCAUCAAAUGUUGGCUGUCCAGAUGAUUAAAAAUCAUUUGUUAGCAAGGGCCGGGCAAGACCGGUGCCAGCYGCCGCGGUAACACCGGCGGCCCGAGUGGUAGCCGUUUUUAUUGGGUCUAAAGGGUCCGUAGCCGGCCUGAUAAGUCCUUUGGGAAAUCUGGCAGCUUAGCUGUCAGGCUUCUAAGGGAUACUGUCAGGCUUGAGACCGGAAGAGGUAAGGGGUACUCCAGGGGUAGGAGUGAAAUCUUGUAAUCCCUGGGGGACCAUCUGUGGCGAAGGCGCCUUACCAGAACGGGUCCGACGGUGAGGGACGAAAGCUAGGGGAGCAAACCGGAUUAGAUACCCGGGUAGUCCUAGCUGUAAACGAUGCUCGCUAGGUGUCAGACACGGUGCGACCGUGUUUGGUGCCGCAGGGAAGCCGUUAAGCGAGCCACCUGGGAAGUACGGUCGCAAGGCUGAAACUUAAAGGAAUUGGCGGGGGAGCACUACAACGGGUGGAGCUGCGGUUUAAUUGGAUUCAACGCCGGG